rnacentral:misc_RNA from 1 species
GAGGGAAUCCAAUCCCUAGAGCCCAGUACCCGAUGCACCCACACAGCAAAUCCUACUUCCACUCUAAUUAUAGCACAUAAAUUAUGCUUAUGAGUAUGACUUAGCUAAAUUUUUCUUUAUAGAAAAAUGUAAUACUGCAUAUCAGUCCACUUCACGUUUCCUGAGAUUAUACCAUUUUCUGGAUUUUGGGAUUUCAAUUUAGAUUUUUCUUUUGAAUUGAAUACUGUUAAUUAUAAGCUUGAACAGUUG